CACAGCGAGUCUCCUUGCAGUCACUGAUUAAACGGUUUUAUGCAGGACUUUUCUCCUCCAUCACUUCCUCCUCGUAGCAAUGUGUUGGCAGGCAGGGAGGUGUGAAGAGCCCGGCUCUUCGCUCCUUCACGGUGCUCAGGAGCCAUGGCGGAGCGGACAGUGAGGAGGAACCAGCGGCCGGAGCACAGCGGGUCCACAGCGGCGGCUCAGCCGAGGAACGAUCCACUUUACCUGCAGCACGUCCACAACUACUACUGACGGAAUACAAUGGUGACGGCGAAUAAAGUUUUCUCACAUAUUCAGCCGCUGUCACAGAUGUCCGGUUCAACUUUUCUCUAACUGGCAUUUUGCUAAUCCCCCGUGGGAUUAUAGCGACGCAGAGUUUGUUUUGCUUUUCUUUUCUUCCUGGACGUCUGUCCUGUAAAGCCAUCUGCCUCAGGCGUAAAUCUGGCGCACUGUCCCGCAGUGGCUCAUAGAGCGCCUCUUUAAUAUUUCAAAGCCGAAUCAGUGGAGGUUAACAUGGGGGCAAAGCAGAGCGGCCCGACUGCUAAUCCAGCUGCCAACGGUCGGACCAGAGCCUACUCCGGCUCGGACCUGCCCUCCAGCACAUCCAGCAGCAACGGCAGUAACGUUAGCCGGACUACAGCCGGGGGGGUGAGGUACCAUGCGUACAGCGCGUCCGGAGCCUCCGGAGCCACGUCCAGCACCAGCCAGCACCUUGGAGCCAGGGCCAGGUCUGUGGGGGGCUCCGGAGGCUCCGGGACCAGACCCCAGUCCGGCAUCAACAUUCCAAACAGCAGCGGAGCCUACAGCUCCCCGGAGUCCGGGGGCAGCAGCCCGGAGGAGGCGGCGGGCAGAGGGCACGAAGGUCCCCGGCUGCUGAUAGGAUCGUUACCAGCACACCUCUCUCCUAAUCUGUUCGGAGGCUUCAAGUGCCCUGUGUGCUCCAAGUUUGUGUCCUCAGAUGAGAUGGAUCUUCACCUGGUCUUGUGUUUAACCAAACCCAGAGUGACAUACAACGAGGACGUCCUCACUAAGGAUGCAGGAGAAUGUGCGAUCUGCCUGGAGGAGCUGGUACAGGGAGACACCAUUGCUCGCCUCCCCUGCCUCUGCAUCUACCACAAAGGGUAGGAAGCUGUGUUUAGGAAGAUGCUGCAUCAUUUCAUUUCUUUUAUGACAAACAGCUGUAUCGAUGAGUGGUUUGAAGUGAACAGAUCAUGUCCAGAGCAUCCAUCAGAUUAAAGCUUUUUUGCACAGGUACCAUGAGAUUGAUCUACUAAAUUAAGUGUGGAUCCUGGGAGACUGCUGGACAUUGUGACCACUGUGAUCAGUUAACCACCCACCCCCACCCCAAAUAAUAAUGUAGUACCAUGGUGUGCCAAAUCUCAUUUAAGAAAUCUUCAGGGAUACAGACUUUCUGUUUAUGUUUGAGUUGCACAUCCACACCCGGUCUGAGACUGGACCGAUCUCCACCUCUCAUCCUCUGCAGCCCUGACACUCAGAGCCACACAGGGCAUUAUGACAGGCGGGACUCUUCUUCCUGAGUGGCCAUUGGACAGCAGAUGUCAGCUGAUUGUACGCCAGGACACUGGAGGAGGUGGACAUGGUCCUGCAGGCGGGGGGGCAGGGUGGAGAGGGGUGUCAGGGCAAUGGUGGAUUAUCCCUCCUACUCUGUCCCUCCCCUCCUCCUUCAGCAUCAGUGUCUACCAGUGCCUUGUUGUAGUGAUGCCCAGCCACAGCAGGGCGGCACACAGGAGUCCAGACUGUGGGCAGAGCCAGCUGGACCGACUGGACGGACCUGCAGGACCAUCUCAUCACAACUGCCAUUCUACCAGUCCAGGAGAAACAAGCCAGAGACAGGACAGCAGCAGGAAUACGUCUGCAUCAGCAGCUGAGACAUUUUCAGAACUGAAGCUGCUGUAAAAAUGGUGCCAACACACACACACACACAAUCAUCAGUGCUCUUCAAUGAUAUACCAUGGAGUGGAGGUCUUCAGGUAGAAAAACCUAUCCUCAGCCCUGAAAAGGAUGCCAGACUUAGCAAUCUGAAUCUACAGAGGCACAUUGCUGCCACCAUGAUAGAAACUGUAUGGUCAGUUUAGUAUAACGACAUAUGGGAGUUUCUCUUCAGAACAACUCAUGUUAAUAGGAGAAAUGUUUGUGAGAUGUUGUAACAAAAAUAUACAUAUACAACAACAAGGUGAAAAAUUCAUUAUAACAUGGACAGACUCUCAUAACAAAGUUUUUACUUCAAGGAGAAGGUGAGACAAACGUUAUCUUGGACCUUUAGCUUCUGUUUUCAUCCAGUCUGUUAAAGGUAGAUAUAAUUUCUAAUUUGACCAGAUUAUAGUGUUUGGCUCUGUGAUGGACUGGAGAUCUGUACCAGGUGUACCCUGCCUCUCACCCAAUGACAGCUGGGAUAGGCUCCAGCCCCCCGUGACAGAUAAGCGGUGUAGAUAAUGGAUAAAAGAAUGAAUAUAGUGUUGGAUCAUGUUUAUUGCAAAUGAAGAUACACUGGUUCCUACUCAGAGUAAGAAAUGAUUUUUGCAUUUUAGUGUGAGUCAGUGAUAAGCGCAGUCCAGCCUCUUUUGAACAGGCAGGCGGUGUCAGGUGCUCAGUAUUAGAAUAAAUCAAUCAGUGCCAUAGAAGUGUAGCACAUAGAGCAGAUUACAAGGAAACUGUGUGGCUUUUGGAACAUUUAAAAGGAGUAAAAUAAAAAUAAAAAAUGAAUAAAAACAUUACAAGAUGAACAUAAAAAAUAGAAAUUUAAAAUGUAAAAAUUAAAGACUGCUGCUGGAGCAUUUUCAGCGUAGAAAACAUUAUCCUUUUUUUACUAUUCUCUCUAUUAUUAUUAUCUCUACUAUCUACUCUAUUUCUGUGACAGUGCUUGAUUUGUUCUACUUCUGUGUACCUGGACAAAAAAAAAAUCAUUCAACAAACGUGACCUUAAAGGCAUUAUUUUUGAACUAUUUUUGAGCUGUGCCUUUCCUGAUGGUCGAUAGUAGAGAGAUGACAGUGAGCGAGAGGAGAGAUGUGAAAGGACAUGUCCCCAGUCAGUCAGAACACAUGGUUCAUGGUUUAACCCUCAGGUCACAAAGGGCACCAGUUUACCUCCAGUUGGAAUUGCAGAUUUUGGUGGUUUAAAUGCACCAGGCAAACGAACAUGAGUACAUUGAUCUUUAAUGUUAGAGUAGAAACAGGUGUCAUUUGAUCCCUUUACUCAGAGCAGUGAAUGAUGUGAACAGGUCAUGGGAGAAGUAUUGUUGUUUGGCUGUUUAUUGGUCGAUCAAACUACAGCUGGUCUGGGGUCCUGGCAGCUUCAAUCAAAACUCCAGUCAAAGUGCUUGCAUUUACUCAGACCAAGUAAUGUUUGCCAAUACACAAGACUGACACACUGAUCCACUCUGUUUCUGGGGGUUGGGUUUGCCUGAAGACCUCUACCACUGAGGAAUAACAGUGUUCAGAUUUUUAAUCCAGUGAAAAACUAUCAUAGCCGAUAUCACUGACAUGUUCAUCAUCAGCCGGAGAGGAUGAACUCAUCAGUGGAUUCACUAAAUGUGGAUACCAAAGCUCCAAAAUCCUUCCACACCCUCCUUUUUUCCAUGACUCAGAAUCCAGUGCUUGUCCCACCAUCCUGAACAUCAUUUUUAUACUGGAAAAAAACAAACUGCUUCAUUAUUUCCUCAACAGCAACUUUCAAAGCAAUCUUGCGUAACCCCUGCUUCAUGUGGAGGUCUGUAAUGAGGGCGUGUAACGAUGUCAUUUUUAUUCAGAGAUGUUGGUUAAUGAGACAUGAAGUGUCCCACAUGAAUGUGGUUGUUUCUCACCACCACAUUCCUCUCAUUGUCCCUUUAAACGUAGAGGUAGAAUCAUGGUAGUGCAAGGAAGGUAAGGAAACAUAAAGCUUUAUUUUGGAGAGAAAACCCAGCACUACCAUGUUUGUAAAGCUCCAGUUCAUCAUGCAAAUGUUCAAGGUAUCAACCGCUGCAUGUACUAAUACAAUCAGCCGUACCCAACCACCCAGAUGCAUGGUGCACAGGUUUUUCCAGCCAGUCAACAGAGCAACUGAUUUUCCAGGUCAAUGCCCUUUGAACCAGAGAAAAGAAAUGAAUCAAAUCCACUUCUCUUCCUUUUCUCCAGUCCUUCACAAACACACCUCUCCUAUCAGACAGUAACCUGGACUGGGCUCAUACAUGCAACAUCAAACUCUGCAUCUCUGCAUGCUGAAAGUUACUUGUAAAUUACAUUAUGAAGUUGUUUAUUUGCAACUCCAUCCAAAAUACACAUCUGCUACUGAUGAAGUAAAUUUUAUUUACAUUCACUACAAAAUGUGAUCAGUAUAAGUCACUGUCAUAUUUUGUUUGUGCUGCAUCCAGCUGGCAUGACCUGUAGGAUUCUGCAGUCUAAACAAAAAGUGAGAUAUUGGAAUUAAAGGUGCAGCCACUGAUUUUCUAGCCUGUGAAAACAUGUAAAUUAUCUUCUGUAGCUAUGGAGGAUCUUUCUAAAGUUUGAUUCACUUCUCAGCUGGACCUUGAAGAAUACCAAACUUUUAUCAGGAAGCCUGUGGUACAAACUGGAGACAUAGAACUUAAAAGAUAUGUGUGUUUACCAGGCAGGGAGGGUUUAAGGAGUACAAGUUUAAAUCAGUAAAGCAGUAGUCACAUGUCCUUGGACUCCACAUGUACAUUGAAAAGGUUUUCAGUCAGUGUAAUCAUUCCUCCUGUACAUUCUGGCCAUUAAAAGAUCCCUUAUCUAAAGCUAUGUCAACCAAAGUGAUGGAGAGAAAAUCCACAGUCCUCAUUUUGUGCAAAAAUCACUUUAUGUGAAGUUCAUGUGUCUGUGAACCUUCAUAUGUCACUCUGGAUUAUCGGUUAUUGUGAUCACCAGUUUCUGACUUGUACACUGCAUUAACCUGCAACACACAAGUGGUGAUUGAUAAGUUUUUGGUCUAAGGUAGAAUGAGAUGAGUUAAACAGAUCACUUAAACAGAGUCAGCCCUGCCUGAGAAAACGGAAGACAUCAGCCUUCGUGCAGUCGUCGGCCGAAUGUAGAUUUGAACUCGCCCGACAUCCGCCCUGUUCACACUACUGUCUGUUCCCCAAGAUGAAGAAGGAGCUCAGUGGUGAUAGUGAUGAUGACAUUAUCACUGCAGUGGAUCAUUUUCUCAGACAGAGCUGAAUGUUUGCAUAUUGUAAAUAUGAAAAUGUUUCCUAUUUUGAUUCUAAAUGAUGUGGACACAGCAUAAUAUAUCAAGUUGCAUUAUGGGAAGUGUAGGAUCCAAGGUUUUUUGAAGCUUGAACUUUACUGACGACUGGAUUGUUGCUUUUGACCAUUCUGUUUUCUGUUUUGUUUCUUGUCUCUUGUGAGCCCCCUCAGCUUCAUGGAAGUGCAAUACUAAAUUACUGGAGUAUCCCUUUAACUGACUUCCAUAUGUCUUCAAAUCUUCUGCUAUAUUUUCAACAUGUCAUUCUCUGGUUGGGAUGACAGUGAGGAUCUGCUGAUGGGUCACUGGAGAAAACAAUGGAGUAAACUUUGGAGUUUUGGGAUCCACCUCGGCACAUUCAUGACUACUGCUUCAUCAUACUGAAUGAGUAAACCUAACAACCACACAGAGAUUAGCUGAGCCCUGUAAUAUCGUGUCUCACCACACUGUGGUGCUACAGAGGCAUGGAGUUUCUCUGUGUCCUGUAUGGAGGUGGGAGCUGUGUGGAUUCUCCUCAUCAUGUCCUCUCUGUUUGUAGCAACAGUCUGAACAUUUGGCUGAUUGACAUUUCACAGGGCUCACACUCUACCUUAAUCUCUGACUGAAUUGACAACCAAUUAUUAUUUAUCAUCAUUUCAGUGAUUAUACAACUGGUUUCUGUGAGCAGAACUAGUGAAGUCUCUUCAUUUCUGCUGUGAAUUGUAGAGGAAAAGUGCAACACAUCUGGCCUUAAUAGAUAUGAUGACAUUAUCUGUCGUUGUGGUUUUAUAUUGUUUUUAACAGCUGCCUCCAACAGCACAAUGACUCACCCAGUGAAACGACUAAACCCCUUAGCUGAUGAUGAAAAUGAAGAGGUACAGAGGAAAAUGCCAGUGUUAAAUUACUGGAGGAGGAAUUUGAGAAACACUUAUAUUGUAUGUUGUAACAGUGUUUUGGGAAAUUGAUAUAAAGCUAACAACCAGAAGAGGUUUACAAGCCUCUGAAAGAGGACUACACAUCUUUGUCUGCUGAUUUGUUAUUUCUGAAGCUGUCAGCAGCUCUCACGUGAUUUCAUGACCUCCCUCAGUAGAUGGAAAUGCGCAGCUGUUAUCACAUGACCUGUGUAUGAAAUUUUAGGCCAUUAACUGACUCCUGGUCAAUGACUUUGAUCAGCUAUGAUUGAGGACGAGACCAAAACCUGUAAAUGUUCCACCUCCAUGACAACUGAGUAACUCCAUCCACUGAGGAGAUAAGCUAACAAGACAGAGAUACUUAAGGUUUAUUGCUUAAACAGCUAGUUAUAUCUUUUCCAUAAAAGAAAGCAGUGACAAUAUAGUGUAAAGGAUAUCAUGAUGACUUUAUGCUGAAUAUCCUGUGAACGCAAACAGAUUCACUUCUCUGUUCUGCUGUUUCUUGUCCUUGUUCUACACUGUGGUUGAUGCAAUUCAAUGUGUGAUAUUUAAUUUUGCAACUACUGUCACGUGUGAUCGGGGCUUUCCCUUUUUUACACCUGCAGUGAGAAAUCCCCAGUAUUCAGUUUUACUGGUGUUUGAGCAAUAGCUCAGUGACAACAAACACAGUGGUGUAUUGGCUCCAGUUAGGGACUGGGAGGUUGUACGUCCAGCCUAUGAGCUGUAUUGGGAAUACUGUGUAUCGAGUGUAAUGCACUGAAAAUACAGUCCUACAAUAAGCCUUAUAUGAGCUACUAAAGGAAAAAUCAAGCACCUUUUAGCAUUUUUAUCAUUUUAUUUCUUGCCAGUUCUGAGCCCCCAACAAGAAUUACCUAAUGAAAUGUAACAGAGAAUGUGUGCUGAAAACAGAUAAUCACAACAAAAUAUGUUCAAAUAUUUCUUAAAGCUAUGUACAAAAAGCAAUUAAGGGUGAAUCCUUUGGAUACCAAUCACUCUCCUUUAGUUACUGCAUUUUUAUGCCAUGUUAUUUUGUGUUUGAGGCUAAUCAGAAUUUUUAAGUAAAAAUCCAGAGACUGAA